CGCGGCCUAUCAGCUUGUUGGUGGGGUAGUGGCUUACCAAGGCUUUGACGGGUAGCCGGCCUGAGAGGGUGACCGGCCACAUUGGGACUGAGAUACGGCCCAGACUCCUACGGGAGGCAGCAGUGGGGAAUAUUGCACAAUGGGCGGAAGCCUGAUGCAGCAACGCCGCGUGCGGGAUGACGGCCUUCGGGUUGUAAACCGCUUUCGCCUGUGACGAAGCGUGAGUGACGGUAAUGGGUAAAGAAGCACCGGCUAACUACGUGCCAGCAGCCGCGGUGAUACGUAGGGUGCGAGCGUUGUCCGGAUUUAUUGGGCGUAAAGGGCUCGUAGGUGGUUGAUCGCGUCGGAAGUGUAAUCUUGGGGCUUAACCCUGAGCGUGCUUUCGAUACGGGUUGACUUGAGGAAGGUAGGGGAGAAUGGAAUUCCUGGUGGAGCGGUGGAAUGCGCAGAUAUCAGGAGGAACACCAGUGGCGAAGGCGGUUCUCUGGGCCUUUCCUGACGCUGAGGAGCGAAAGCGUGGGGAGCGAACAGGCUUAGAUACCCUGGUAGUCCUCGCUGUAAACGGUGGGUACUAGGUGUGAGGUCCGUUCCACGGGUUCCGUGCCGUAGCUAACGCUUUAAGUACCCCGCCUGGGGAGUACGG
rnacentral:rRNA from 1 species